rnacentral:rRNA from 1 species
UACGUAGGGAGCAAGCGUUGUCCGGAAUCAUUGGGCGUAAAGCGCGCGUAGGUGGCCUCAUAAGUCUGCUGUGAAAGUCCAGGGCUCAACCCUGGAAUGCCGGUGGAUACUGUUGAACUUGAGUACGGAAGAGGCGAGUGGAACUCCUGGUGUAGCGGUGAAAUGCGCAGAUAUCAGGAGGAACACCAAUAGCGAAGGCAGCUCGCUGGGACGGUACUGACGCUAAGGCGCGAAAGCGUGGGGAGCGAACAGG